GCCGCGUUGGCGCAGUCGUAGUCGCGUCUCACUUGUACCGAUGAGUCCGAAAGGACCAAACGGAAAUGAGAAGGUCAUUCGUUCAAUCCGGGUACGCGGCA